CCCAUAAAAUUUCCCUCCCAACCCAAUCCAAAAAUUUGAGCUCCCCCCAAAAUUUUCUAAAAGCAAACAAAUCCACAACCCUAGCUCUCAUCCCACAAGUUUGCAAAAUCACCGUUUCAAUUUUUCUAACCAAAUCACCCCCAAAAUCGAUCACCAAAUACUACUCGCACCAAAAAAGCACAAUGACGGAUCUGAAACCGAACAUCCAACCAUCAUCUUCUCUGGCAAGAUCUUCACAUGGUGCUGUAGUUCAAUCGUUCUCUAUUUAAAAUCAAUUCCAGUAAAAGAAUAAUCGACGGUGUUGAUUGAUGGUUCGGAUUCGAAGGUUUCGACAUCAAUACGGUUUCGAGCGACCUGAGGCGCCACACUCACUACGAAACAGUCACCUUCAGUUGUACACUUCUUCUUCUUCUUCUUCUUCUUCUUCUAUAUUUCCAUCUCCACAGGAGGUCAUGAAGCCAUAUUUCAUGAAGUACUGGAAAGCAGCCGGAUUACACACAAAACCUUCACUGGCCAUCGGUGGUAAGGCCCCAUCAUUUUUAUUCUAAUGCCCUGCAAUAUAGUUGCUAUGUUAAAUUAUGUGAAGUACAGUAAUCUAGUGUUAGAUGUCUGAUGUAUUUUCCAUUCUUGUUUGAUUGUCUGUGUUGGCAGUCAGGUGCAAGUUAGGAAAGUGAUGUGAAUAGUUAUUUACCAGACAUAUGUAAAGUCACAAUUAGAGAAGAAGUGUAGAGAAACAAGGUCUUAGAGGAUAAGAGUAGUUACAUUUUGUAUUAGUGGAUGUAGCAAUAUUGCUAUAAACAUGAAACAUCAUUUAAAAGGGGAGGUUUGUAGGUGCUUGCUUGACUUUCGUGUUAGUGUUCUAUUAACUUCUGAUGUAAUGCAUUCGGAUGUCCAUCCACCUACAAAGGCGUCUAUCUUGAGGAACAAGCACAAUAAGCAAAAAAAAAAAAAAAUAGCAGACUUAUCAAAAUAGAUUUUGGAUUCUAAAGUAAUAUAAAGAUUAAGUUACAAAAUAGAUUUUGCUCACCCUUUUUUUGAUGAUAGGAAAGAAAGCUUAAGUUACAAAAUAAAUUUUGGAUUCUAAAGUAAUAUAAAGAUUGUGGUAUUUGUGUAUAGAUACUAGUGCUCUAGUGGUGACUACGGGUAUUUAAGUUCCACCUUUGGUGGGCACGGGUGAGUUUUCCCCUCCAUGUCUCAAGUUCGAGUCUGGGUGAUAGGGGUUUCUCAUUGAGAGGUUUAAAUUGGGGAUUUAUUGUGCGAGGUGGCUCUCUAGCGCGGACCCGGUUAAGACAACGUAUGCUAAACCUCCCGACAUUCGCGAAUAAUUCACCCCUUUCAAAAAAAAAAACAAUAAAAAAAUAAAGAAUGUGGUAUUUGUGUAUAGAUGCAAAACUUGUAGCUGCAUGAACAACAAAUAGGUUGUUUUAAAUAGAUGAAACUUUGGUAUUAGCAUGAGCUUUUGUUAGGGAUAUUUUGGUCGUCUGAAAGUUGGCAGGCAUAUAGUUGGCUCUUUAUUUGCAGAAGAUAUUAGACCACUCGGUAUGGUGGAGUCCAAGCCCCGUCGAGGAGCGGCGCCACCCCUCCACACAGAUACGUUUACAGGUUAAUAUUAUUUAAACUAAAUAAAUAAAAUAUUCUAAGCCUUAUUAUCAGAUAUUAUUUGAUUGAAUGCUGCAAUUGAAGGGUCGCGCGUUUAUGGCGCUAAGGGAGAUGUUCCAAUUUAAGAUGUGCCAAUCAGUCACGCGAACAACCUGAACAGAUUUCAUUUGAGGCAUUAAACACUCCAGCUAAAGCCUUUGGUACUUGGGGGGUUCCUUUCAAGGUAGUGAUGUUUCUAUGUCUAAAAGCAUUAAUAAUUUUCUGAGUUGUGGCGGAAGUCAAAUAGCUAAGAAAAGUUGAUAAACCUAAUAGCCAAAAUCUUUUCAUAGGUAUAGAACACCACUCAUUGACAAACCUAGAAAUGAACAACGGGCGAGCGAUCACCAUUUCUAGAAUCGGAAGAACGGGAGUCAGGCAAAGGCAAGAAAGAAGUGAAAGCAAAACUUGUGAGUUAUUUGUACACGUGUUUCCAUCUGAUAGGCGAGCAUGUAUACGGGCAUGCUUUUAUUGUGAUGGAGCAGUUCAAAAAGAAGCUCGGAUCUCAUUGAUGUCGGGCGGCUAGUCAUUGAUUGAAUUGUUCAGAACUUGAAUUUGGGAAUUUGGUGGCUGGUCAUUGAUUUUGCAAUGAAAUCUUGGAGCAUUCCACAAAGGCAAAACAACCGGAUAUAAAUUUGCAGCACUUUCAAAGUCUAAAAGCAAUGAGUAUAUGGAUUCAAAGACAACAACCUAUUAUUUGUUCUUAGUUUAUGUGUAAAGGCAUUCCCUUUGCAACUUUUGUAGAUAGGUCUUGAUUAGAAGUUUGUCUUUAAUUAGUUUUUAAGUUGAAAACUUAUGUAUGGAUUUUGGUUUAUUGUUGUUAAUAUUAUUUGGUUUUUAGAUUUUCUCA